rnacentral:lncRNA from 1 species
UCAGGAAAAAUAAAGGAGCUUGAAGCUCAGCUGGAGGCAGUAGAGAAGAAGGCAGCAAAGGCUGCCUCCAAGGCCGUUGUGGACAUUCAGACAUUAGUAGAAUAUAAGGAUGAGAAAAUUGAGUUUUUUGCUGAUGCCUAUGCUGGUGAGAAGCAGCUGGUCCAUGAUAGGAUUGUUGUCAAAUAUCUAGAACUAAAUCUAAAUU